rnacentral:rRNA from 1 species
UACGUAGGGCGCAAGCGUUGUCCGGAAUUAUUGGGCGUAAAGAGCUCGUAGGCGGUCUGUCGCGUCUGCCGUGAAAGUCCGGGGCUCAACUCCGGAUCUGCGGUGGGUACGGGCAGACUAGAGUGAUGUAGGGGAGACUGGAAUUCCUGGUGUAGCGGUGAAAUGCGCAGAUAUCAGGAGGAACACCGAUGGCGAAGGCAGGUCUCUGGGCAUUAACUGACGCUGAGGAGCGAAAGCAUGGGGAGCGAACAGG